rnacentral:lncRNA from 7 species
CCAAAUAGGGACAUGGUGACCCCAAAUGGGGCCAUGGUGACCCCAGGUGACCCCAAAUAGGGACAUGGUGACCCCAAAUGGGGACAUGGUGACCCCAAAUGAGGCGACGGUGCCCCCAAGUGACCCCAAAUGGGAACAUGGUGACCCCAAAUGGGGACAUGGUGACCCCAGGUGACCCCAAAUGGGGCCAUGGUGACCCCAAAUGGGGACAUGGUGACCCCAAAUGAGGUGAUGGUGACCCCAAAUGGGGACAUGGUGACUCUAUGAGACCCCAAAUGAGGCGAUGGUGACCCCAGGUGACCCCAAAUAGGGACAUGGUGACCCCCAGUGACCCCAAAUGGGGACAUGGUGACCCCAAAUGGGGACAUAGUGACCCCAAAUGGGGACAUGGUGACCCCAAGUGACCCUAAAUGAGGCGAUGGUGACUCCAAGUGACCCCAAAUGGGGACAUGGUGACCCCAAAUGAGGUGAUGUUGACCCCAGGCGUCCCCAAGCGAAGGGACCCCCCUUAGGACCUUGAUGGCGUGACGGACGGGGCCGGCUGUGGGGCAGCGCCCCCCCUUUCCCCCUCCCACCCCAUAACCCCCGCAGCCCACUCACACGUUGGGGAAGCGCGUGGCGUAUUGGAUGGUCUGCGUGAGGGAGUUGUUGGCGCAGCCGGCGCUGGAACAGACGGCGUCGGUGCCCUCCGCGGUGGCGAAGUCGUAACCGGAAGUGGUGACGAAAUAAGUGGGGACGCCCACCUGAAGGAACCGCUCCAUGUCCGAAAACAUCAGAUACAGCCCGCAGAACGACAGCGCGAGGAACAGCAGCACCUGCGGAGCCCCACAGCGCCCCAUGGCCACUGUGCCCCACUGCGCCCCACAGCGCCCCAUGGCCACUGCGCCCCACUGCGCCCCACAGCGUCCCACUGCGCCCCACAGUGCCCCAUGGCCACCGCGCCCCACUGCACCCCAUGGCCACCAACCCCAAAGCGCCCCACAGCACCCCAUGGCCACAGUGCCCCACUGCGCCCCACAGUGCCCCAUGGCCACCAACCCCACAGCGCCCCCCGUAAGCCCUACACACCCCAUACCCACCCCAUGGCCAUACCCACCCAACACCCACCCCAUACCCACCCCACGGCCACACCUACCUCAUGGCCAUACCCACCCAACACCCACUCCAUACCCACCCCACAGCCCCACACAUCCCAUACCCACCCCACACCCACACCCCCCCCAUACCCACCCCAUGGCCAUACCAACCCCACCCCACCCCAUAUCCACAGCCACCCCACCCCCACCCAUGGCCACAACCACCCCAUACCCACCCCAUAGCCCUACACACCCAUACCCACCCAUGCGCCAUACCCACUCCACAGCCAUACCCACCCCACACCCACCCCAUGGCCGUAUCCACCCCACGGCCACACCCACCCCACAGCCCUACACACCCCACACCCACCCCAUAGCCAUACCCAUCCCAUACCCACCCCACAGCCUCCCCAUACCCACCCCACAAGCCACGCCUACUCCAACCCACCCCAUGGCCAUACCCACCCCACACCCACCCCACAGCCCUACCCACCCAUACCCACCCCAUAUCCACCCCACCCCACCCCACAGCCCCACAGCCCCACUCACCACGAGGGGCCGCACGCCAGCGGUGUAGGAGGACGGGGGUGUAGAAGCGGCUCAGGAAGGGGCGCAGCAGCCGCAGCCCCGACCGUAUGGCCGCGCUUCCACCC